CCUACGGGAGGCAGCAGUGAGGAAUAUUGGUCAAUGGGCGGAAGCCUGAACCAGCCAAGUAGCGUGCGGGAUGAAGGCCCUACGGGUCGUAAACCGCUUUUGCCGGGGAGCAAAAAGCGGUACGUGUACCGCAUCGAGAGUACCCGGAGAAAAAGCAUCGGCUAACUCCGUGCCAGCCGCCGCGGUAAUACGGAGGAUGCGAGCGUUAUCCGGAUUUAUUGGGUUUAAAGGGUGCGCAGGCGGCGAGGUAAGUCAGCGGUAAAAUUUCGGGGCUCAACCCCGACAAGCCGUUGAAACUGGCUUGCUAGAGUGGGCGAGAAGUAUGCGGAAUGCGUGGUGUAGCGGUGAAAUGCAUAGAUAUCACGCAGAACUCCGAUUGCGAAGGCAGCAUACCGGCGCCCAACUGACGCUCAGGCACGAAAGCGUGGGUAUCGAACAGGAUUAGAUACCCGAGUAGUC
rnacentral:rRNA from 1 species